rnacentral:rRNA from 1 species
GAUGAACGCUGGCGGCGUGCUUAAUACAUGCAAGUCGAACGAAUUGAAGAUGUGCUUGCACAUCUGAUGUUAGUGGCGAACGGGUGAGUAAUACAUAGGCAACUUGCACCAAGGACUGGGAUAACACUUAGAAAUGAGUGCUAAUACCGGUUAGGCAAUACAAAGGCAUCUUAGUAUUAUUAAAGUUGGGUAACCAAAACCAUGGGAUGGGCUUAUGCUGUAUUAGCUAGUUGGUGAGAUAAAAGCCCACCAAGGCGAUGAUACAUAGCUGGUCUGAGAGGAUGAACAGCCACAUUGGGACUGAGACACGGCCCAGACUCCUACGGGAGGCAGCAGUAAGGAAUUUUCGGCAAUGGAGGAAACUCUGACCGAGCAACGCCGCGUGAGUGAUGAAGGCCUUCGGGUUGUAAAGCUCUGUUGUAAAGGAAGAAUGUAUAGAAAAGGAAAUGUUUCUAUAGUGACGGUACUUUACUAGAAAGUCACGGCUUACUACGUGCCAGCCGCCGCCGUAA